UACGGGGGGGGCAAGCGUUGUUCGGAAUUACUGGGCGUAAAGGGCUCGUAGGUGGCCAACUAAGUCAGACGUGAAAUCCCUCGGCUUAACCGGGGAACUGCGUCUGAUACUGGAUGGCUAGAGUUUGGGAGAGGGAUGCGGAAUUCCAGGUGUAGCGGUGAAAUGCGUAGAUAUCGGGAGGAACACCAGUGGCGAAGGCGGCUCACUGGCCCGGUACUGACGCUGAGGUGCGAAAGCGUGGGGAGCAAACAGG
rnacentral:rRNA from 1 species